rnacentral:rRNA from 1 species
AACGAACGCUGGCGGCAUGCCUAACACAUGCAAGUCGAACGAGACCUUCGGGUCUAGUGGCGCACGGGUGCGUAACGCGUGGGAACCUGCCUUUAGGUUCGGAAUAACUCAGAGAAAUUUGAGCUAAUACCGGAUGAUGUCUUCGGACCAAAGAUUUAUCGCCUUUAGAUGGGCCCGCGUUGGAUUAGCUAGUUGGUGGGUAAAGGCCUACCAAGGCGACGAUCCAUAGCUGGUCUGAGAGGAUGAUCAGCCACACUGGGACUGAGACACGGCCCAGACUCCUACGGGAGGCAGCAGUGGGGAAUAUUGGACAAUGGGCGAAAGCCUGAUCCAGCAAUGCCGCGUGAGUGAUGAAGGCCUUAGGGUUGUAAAGCUCUUUUACCCGAGAUGAUAAUGACAGUAUCGGGAGAAUAAGCGCCGGCUAACUCCGUG